AGCAUCUCUCGCGGUGCCAUGCGAGCGGCCUGGCGCACUCUGGUGGGCCUGCGUGCAGCUGCCCUGGAGCUGCACGGCGUUCGGGGCAUACGGACGCGCGACUGCUAUUUUAUGGGCGCUGGAGGCAAUUUCGGGUACCCAACGAGGAUCGUCCGCAGCAGAUGCGUUGGGGCAAGCUCACAUGCAGCUAUAUGAAGACGAAAUGCCCUCAAUUUCGGGGGAAUCGGCUCCAGGCUGGCGGGCGUCGCAGCAGCGGGAUAUUGGGGUUUCCGCCACGUAGCCAGCAGCGGCUGGCUUGCUGGCCCAGCGCCUACCCCGCGCCUCACAGCUUCUUCCCCGGCGCUCCGGCUCAUAGUACAGCGUUGUACAUGUCAGCGCGAGGAGGGAACACGAACGCCAGGUCUCGGGCGGCCUGCCUCGCGGGUUGUUCCGCCACCUCACCGCCAGCACGCCCACCCUCUGUGCCGUGUAGGUAAACGCCGCGGUACCCGUGAGGCCCGCCUGCCCGAGAAGGUGAUGUGGAUCCGCCGCCUGCGUGUGCUGCGCCGCCUCCUGAAGAAGUACCGCGACUCGAAGAAGAUCGACAAGCACCUGUACCACGACCUGUACAUGAAGGUGCGCUUGCUGCCCUGUUGACACGGAACUUUGCAACCACGGGGCCUGGAAUUGGGCUUAGCUGCAGGUGCAAGCACUGUGUGAUAUUGGGCGGUCCUUGCCGGGCACUUUGAGCGAAACAUGGAGGGACCACAUGGAGCAUGCAGCAGCGCUCUGGAGCAACCGCGGAGCUGCUCGGACGGGGGACGCAGCCGGAGCGGAUGAGCACAGCCUGGCGCAGCAGCCGCAACGACUGGCGCACACCUUCAGAAUAACCUGGCGUGCCCGGGGGGCUGGCGGCGGCGGCUGGCUCCGGCUGUGGCGGCGGCGCGGGUGCAGUUGCAUGGUGACGGGCAGCCCGGCUGCUUGUAUGGGUUGCCGUGGCACAACUACAGCUUAGCAGCGCGGCAGCAGGAGCCGGGCGGCAUGUCCGCUGGCGCCCCGAUGCAAUGCCGUCCGCAGUCUGGCGCCCGCGGGGUGGGGGGCUAACGGCAGUUGGGGCAGCCGCCAGCAGCAGAGGCAGUAUGUGCGACCAGCGGAGCGCCCCACGGGAGCGCCCCAUGUAUCGGGUAUCGAGGGCGUCCCGGGGAUGGCGGCUGAGGCGGCCGCCGUCAGUCAGCUACAAAUGACAGCGCAGCCGCUGCACAGGGUCGAUGGGGCAGGGCUGCUCCGCGGGGCGGCUCGCGGACAGCCGGAAACCAUUUGCAGACCAGAAGGCGUGGCGUCGAUGCAUGGAUGCAUUGCGCACCACAGCGGUGCACGGGGCUGCUCCGUGUGUUGAGGGCCAGCCUAGCAGCUGCGCCGGUAUUGCCGCUGUUGUCGCAGCGACCAGGCCAAAAUAUCAGGAUUCGCCCACACCCCGAGCCGGCGCAGCAGGUUUUCCCAGACCAGCGAGAGAUCAGUGUUCAUGGCAACCGGCCGGCCGCAGUACGCCGGCUGGAUAGCAUAACAGACCAUGUGCACACGCGUCCGAGCGGGCUGUCCCAGGACUGACGGUGGAACCGCCCGUGCUGCUCUCUCCGCCACAUUGCACGCCCCCGCAGGUCAAGGGUAACGUGUUCAAGAACAAGCGCGUGCUGAUGGAGGCCGUGCACAAGCAGAAGGCGGAGAAGGUGCGCGAGAAGACCAUCGCCGACCAGUUCGAGGCGCGCCGCGCCAAGAACAAGGCGGCGCGCGAGCGCAAGGCCACCCGUCGCGAGGAGAGGCUGGCCGCGGUGAGUUGUUGGGAGGAAUGAGGGGUGGGCGGGAUGCAACAGCGGGACAAUGCGGAAGUGGAGGCAAGGCGCCGGCCGCGGAAUGGGAGCGCGAGGCUGUCUGACGCGCUGGCGGCGGGGGGGGGGAGAUCGUCAGCGGGAGGCCAUGGGUGGGUGGCGGAGGUGGAAUGCGAGGCAUGCGGGUUCGUCGGGUGCCUGAGGGAGUGCGGUCCAUGGUCAGGGCGGUCCUGGUGCACGCGGCAACACCUGGGCCUCGGUGAGCCUAUCCCCACGCUGCGAGCUGAUCCGCCCUCCCUCCUACCCCGCCACUCCGUGUGCCCUCCCGCAGGGCCUCCACCUCGAGGCCCCGGCGACCAAGCCCGCCCCCGCCCAGAAGAAGUAGACGGUCCAUCUAGCGGGCGGCACCCAUCUGCCGUCUGACGGUGGUGGUGUCAAUGAGAGAGUUGUCGACGGACCGCUGUAACUACCGGGGUGACCAACGACCCGAAUCGUACCGCCGCGCUGUGAUGGCGUGGCAGCGUCAACUGGGUGGGAGGGCUUGCGUGUAUAGUGCAGCAGUAGCGACAGUUCGGUGGCGCCACUCACGCCGCAACCAGUUCCCGGAGUGCGCGCGCCGGCCAGGGGCGGGUCCACCACCCGCCACGGCCGUGUCGUGUACUGCUGGGGGCCGGGCGCAGCGCUUGGUUCCGCCAACCACCCGUCGGGUGCAUAAGAAUGAC
rnacentral:lncRNA from 1 species